rnacentral:rRNA from 1 species
AACGUAGGUGGCAAGCGUUAUCCGGAUUUACUGGGCGUAAAGUGUGCGCAGGCGGCCGCGCAAGUCGAGUGUGAAAGCCCCGAGCUUAACUUGGGAAUUGCGCUCGAAACUACGUGGCUGGAGUGUGGCAGAGGAAGGUGGAAUUCCACGUGUAGCGGUGAAAUGCGUAGAGAUGUGGAGGAACACCGAUGGCGAAGGCGGCUCACUGGUCCGGUACUGACGCUGAGGUGCGAAAGCGUGGGGAGCAAACAGG